rnacentral:rRNA from 1 species
AACGAACGCUGGCGGCGUGGAUAAGACAUGCAAGUCGAACGGGAUUUUCUCUGGUAGCAAUACCGGAGAAAAUUUAGUGGCGAACGGGUGCGUAACACGUGGGGAAUCUGCCAAGAAGUG